CGAAAGCUGUGCUAAUACCGCAUACGAUCUACGGAUGAAAGCGGGGGAUCGCAAGACCUCGCGCGGACGGAGCGGCCGAUGGCAGAUUAGGUAGUUGGUGGGAUAAAAGCUUACCAAGCCGACGAUCUGUAGCUGGUCUGAGAGGACGACCAGCCACACUGGGACUGAGACACGGCCCAGACUCCUACGGGAGGCAGCAGUGGGGAAUUUUGGACAAUGGGCGCAAGCCUGAUCCAGCCAUGCCGCGUGCAGGAUGAAGGCCUUCGGGUUGUAAACUGCUUUUGUACGGAACGAAAAAGCUCUCUCUAAUACAGGGGGUGAAUGACGGUACCGUAAGAAUAAGCACCGGCUAACUACGUGCCAGCAGCCGCGGUAAUACGUAGGGUGCAAGCGUUAAUCGGAAUUACUGGGCGUAAAGCGUGCGCAGGCGGUUAUGUAAGACAGAGGUGAAAUCCCCGGGCUCAACCUGGGAACUGCCUUUGUGACUGCAUAGCUGGAGUGCGGCAGAGGGG
rnacentral:rRNA from 1 species